AGUGGGGAAUAUUGCACAAUGGGGGAAACCCUGAUGCAGCCAUGCCGCGUGUGUGAAGAAGGCUUUCGGGUUGUAAAGCACUUUCAGCGAGGAGGAAAGGGUGAUGGUUAAUAUCCAUCAUCUGUGACGUUACUCGCAGAAGAAGCACCGGCUAACUCCGUGCCAGCAGCCGCGGUAAUACGGAGGGUGCGAGCGUUAAUCGGAAUUACUGGGCGUAAAGCGCGCGUAGGUGGUUAAUUAAGUCAGAUGUGAAAGCCCAGGGCUCAACCUUGGAACUGCAUUUGAAACUGGUUGACUAGAGUUUGUAGAGGGUGGUAGAAUUUCAGGUGUAGCGGUGAAAUGCGUAGAGAUCUGAAGGAAUACCAGUGGCGAAGGCGGCCACCUGGACAGAGACUGACACUGAGGCGCGAAGGCGUGGGGAGCAAACGGGAUUAGAUACCCCGGUAGUCCACGCAGUAAACGAUGUCUAUUAGAAGUUUGUGGCUAUAUGCCGUGGGUUUCAAAGCUAACGCAUUAAAUAGACCGCCUGGGGAGUACGGCCGCAAGGUUAAAACUCAAAUGAAUUGACGGGGGCCCGCACAAGCGGUGGAGCAUGUGGUUUAAUUCGAUGCAACGCGAAGAACCUUACCAUCCUUGACAUCCAGAGAAUCUGUUAGAGAUAGUAGAGUGCCUUCGGGAACUCUGAGACAGGUGCUGCAUGGCUGUCGUCAGCUCGUGUUGUGAAAUGUUGGGUUAAGUCCCGCAACGAGCGCAACCCU
rnacentral:rRNA from 1 species